GACGAACGCUGGCGGCGUGCUUAACACAUGCAAGUCGAACGAAGAGCGAUGGAAGCUUGCUUCUAUCAAUCUUAGUGGCGAACGGGUGAGUAACGCGUAAUCAACCUGCCCUUCAGAGGGGGGCAACAGUUGGAAACGACUGCUAAUACCGCAUACGAUCUAAUCUCGGCAUCGAGGAUAGAUGAAAGGUGGCCUCUACAUGUAAGCUAUCACUGAAGGAGGGGAUUGCGUCUGAUUAGCUAGUUGGAGGGGUAACGGCCCACCAAGGCGAUGAUCAGUAGCCGGUCUGAGAGGAUGAACUGCCACAUUGGGACUGAGACACGGCUCAGACUCCUACGGGAGGCAGCAGUGGGGAAUCUUCCGCAAUGGACGAAAGUCUGACGGAGCAACGCCGCGUGAGUGAUGACGGCCUUCGGGUUGUAAAGCUCUGUUAAUCGGGACGAAAGGCCUUCUUGCGAAUAGUGAGAAGGAUUGACGGUACCGGAAUAGAAAGCCACGGCUAACUACGUG
rnacentral:rRNA from 1 species